rnacentral:misc_RNA from 1 species
GGCAGUGCCAGUUGUAGAGCCUAGGCUGGCUGGUGAAAAUGCGCGAUUACUUUUAUCAUUCGGGUCUUUCUAAGGUCAUCGUGUUUUAACAUUAACGAUGUAUCAAAACAAUAUUCCAUAUUGUCAAUUAAUACGUUAAUAUUUUAAUCGGCGAUAUACAAGACGAAUAAAAACAACAAAAAAAAAAAAGAGAGAGAGAGAGAAAUCAUCAAGUAGAGUUUUAAAACCAUGCUUUAAUUGAAGCGCCGGAUUAUACAACCCCUUGAUACGGGAUACUGGAUAACAAUUACCAUGAUAAAAAUCGGCGCUGGGAGAUAGAUUCUUUGAACUCUUCAGCUUCUGGCUUGUUUCUGUACCCUCUUCUGAUGAUAUCGAUGCACUUGAAACAGCCUUCGCCCUUUCACCCUCAAGAAGAAUUGGGUAAAGGUUGGGUUAUACGUGAGACGAACUAAUCGGAAUAUAUUAUAGCCUAGAAAC